AAAAAGGGUCGGUUGGCUAAAUAUGCCACACUCGCCCGAGUGGUGAGUGCCGUAUGGAUAUCAAGACAUAUGGCCGACAUAAUUUGUGGAAUUCUCAUAGGGUUGGCUCGCUGGCCGACCCUCCA
rfam:Nicotiana sylvestris Nsyl_contig119886, whole genome shotgun sequence.